GAUGAACGCUAGCUACAGGCUUGACACAUGCAAGUCGAGGGGAAACGGCAUUGAGUGCUUGCACUCUUUGGACGUCGACCGGCGCACGGGUGAGUAACGCGUAUCCAACCUUCCCAUUACUGUGGGAUAACCUGCCGAAAGGCAGACUAAUACCGCAUAGUCUUCGAUGACGGCAUCAGAUUUGAAGUAAAGAUUUAUCGGUAAUGGAUGGGGAUGCGUCUGAUUAGCUUGUUGGCGGGGUAACGGCCCACCAAGGCUACGAUCAGUAGGGGUUCUGAGAGGAAGGUCCCCCACAUUGGAACUGAGACACGGUCCAAACUCCUACGGGAGGCAGCAGUGAGGAAUAUUGAUCAAUGGACGGAAGUCUGAACCAGCCAAGUAGCGUGCAGGAUGACGGCCCUAUGGGUUGUAAACUGCUUUUGUAUGGGGAUAAAGUUAGGGACGUGUCCCUAUUUGCAGGUACCAUACGAAUAAGGACCGGCUAAUUCCGUG
rnacentral:rRNA from 1 species